UCCCUUAACGAGCGAAACCCUUAUCUCUAGUUGCCAGCGGGUAGUGCCGGGGACUCUAGAGAGACUGCCGGUGUUAAACCGGAGGAAGGUGGGGAUGACGUCAAGUCCUCAUGGCCUUUAUGUCUAGGGCUGCACACGUCCUACAAUGCGGCGGAUAAAGGGAUGCGAACUCGCGAGAGCAAGCAAAUCCCAAAAACCGUCGCCCAGUUCGGAUUGCAGGCUGAAAUUCGCCUGCAUGAAGCCGGAAUCGCUAGUAAUCGCGGAUCAGAACGCCGCGGUGAAUACGUUCCCGGGCCUUGUACACACCGCCCGUCACACCAUGGGAGUUGGUUUUACCCGAAGGCGAUGUGCUAACUUCGGAGGCAGUCGACCACGGUAAGGUCAGCGACUGGGGUGAAGUCGUAACAAGGUAGCCGUAGGGGAACCUGUGGCUGGAUCACCUCCUUU
rnacentral:rRNA from 1 species